AUGCCUUGCACGCUGCAGCGUUGUGAUUUUUUAUUACUGCAGGUGCUAAAUAAAUCCUCAGUGACGGAGCCCGGAGCCAAACACAUUUAUCCUUGUCACCUCUCCAAUUCUGUGCAGCUGGAAUGGAGCCCAAGGCGCAGGAGAUGCAAUAAAUCUGCUCUCUGGGCUCCACCCGUUUCUCCACCAAGCAGAUGUGGUCGCCGGGAGCCAAGGCUGGAGGAAUGGACUGAGGCCCUCCACCUCUCCAGCCAAGUGUGACCACAAGCUCAAGACAGCAGUUUUGUUGCUGCCUCCACCCCCUGCAGUGGAUCCCUGGAUUGAGAAGAUCCCCUGGAAAAGAGAAAGACUACCCACUCCAGUAUUCUGGCCUGGAGAAUUCCAUGGACUAUACAGUCCAUGAGGUCACAAAGAGUCGGACAUGACUGAGUGACUUUCACUUCACUUGGGAACCAAUAUUAGCUUUAGAGGCUUCCCUGGUGACUCAGAGGAUAAAGCAUCUGCCUGCAAUGCUAGAGACCUGGGUUCAAUCCCUGGGUUGGGAAGAUCCCCUGGAUAAAGAAAUGGCAACCCACUCCAAUACUCUUGCCUGGAAAAUUCCACGGACGGAGGAGCCUGGUAGGCUAUAGUCCAUGGAGCUGCAAAGAGUCAGACAUGACUGAGUGACUUCAUUUUCCUUUCCCUUCCACUCCCUACUCCUGGCAUUUCAAAGACAGCGCCAACGUUUCCCAUCGGGCCUCUAUUGCAAGGUGUUUCCUGCCUCUCGCCUUAGGCAUAGCACUGUAUGACUUGCUGGUCCUUGAUGUCCCUUCAUAGCACUGGAAACAAGAAUAGGAUCAACAAACCACCUGCUCUACAGUAACCUUUAAAAGGUGGAGGUAGGAAAUGAGAAGUGCACUAAUGUUUGUGCAAGGCCUCCUGAGCACCAAGCACUUUACGUAUUUAUCUUCUUGAUGACACUGGAAGGGAAAUAUUUUUACUCCAUUCUACAGAUGAGGAAAGGUGGAUCUGAAAGGUUAGGUGAUUUGCCCAAGGUCACAUGGCUAGCGAAUGGCAGUCAGAAUUUAAGCCACUUCUCAAAAUUGCCCUCUGCAGCCUCCUCCAUCAGUGCAGUGUCCCAGUCCCUUAGAAGACAAGGUAUAUCACCCCACAAACUGCUUAUUGGUUAAAAGGCAAAAACGGUCACUCUGCAAUAGAGAAGCCUGCCCACGCGUUGAUCAGGUGAACAAAAGGAACCAUAGCAGAUAGACAUCACCCAAAAUGACUUAUGUCACUUGGCAAGGUUACACAACUUGAACCUCAUCACAAGGAAACAUCUGAUGAACCUGAAUUGAGGAACAUCAUAGAAAAUCACUGGCUUCUGUUCUUCAGACAUAUCAAUGUCCACGUCAAAGCUGAGGAAUGGUUCCAGAGUAAAGAAACAAGGGAGAAGACAUCUAAAUGCUGUAGGUGGUGCGGGAUUUGAUUCUGCACUGGGGUGGGGGACAUGUUCUGAAAGUUUGUUGGGCCAGUUGAUAAAACUGAAAUAUGGAGUGUUCAGUUUAGUUCAGUUGCUCAGUCGUGUCCGACUCUUUGCGACCCCAUGAAUCGCAGCACACCAGGCCUCCCUGUCCAUCACCAACUCCGGAGUUCACUCAGACUCAGUCCAUCGAGUCAGUGAUGCCAUCCAGCUAUCUCAUCCUCUGUCAUCCCCUUCUCCUCUUGCCCCCAAUCCCUCCCAGCAUCAGAGUCUUUUCCAAUGAGUCAACUAUUUGCAUGAGGUGGCCAAAGUAUAUGGAGUGUAGAAGAGAAAAAAAUUACUGUAACAGUGUUAGAUUUCUUGAGUUUGAUUGCCGUACAGUGGCUCUGUAAGAGAAUAUCCUGUUCUUAGGAAAUACACACUGAGAUAUUAAGAGAUAAAGGGCACGAUGCCUCUCAAAUGGUUCAGAAAAAAGUAAAUAUUGCCACAAUGCUUUUGAAUUGUGGUGCUGGAGAAGACUCUUGAGAGUUCCUUGGAUUGCAAAGAGAUCUAACCAGUCAAUCCUAGAGGAAAUCAACCCUGAAUAUUCAAGGAAGGACUGAUGUGGAAGCUCCAAGACUUUGGCCACCUGAUGUGAAGAGCUGACUCAUUGGAAAAGACCCUGAUGCUGGGAAAGAUUGAAGGCAAAAGGAGAAGGAAGCGGCAGAGGAUGAGAUGGCUAGAUGGCACGCAAAGGACAUGAAUUUUAGCAAACUCCCCAGAGAUAGAGGACAGAGGAGCCUGGUGUCUACAGUCCAUGGGGGUCACAAAGAGUUAGACACAACUUAGUGACUGAACAACAGUAUUUCUUAUGGUAGCCAGCAGAGAGCUAAGCCUAUAUAGUAGAGAACGAAUUUUGAAUCUUUGGUUUUAUUUGAUUAAAUAAUUCUACAGUCCCCUGACAUCAAGGAAAAUAUUUUGCAGUGUGGCGUUCUUAGUUGCUAAUACUUCUGCUUAAUUUCAGAGGUGACACAAAUAAAAUUCUGAUCCUUCACCA
rnacentral:lncRNA from 1 species